CAUGUCUGGUCGGGUCGGGUCGGGUCGGGUCCGGGGGGUAGUUGGUGGGGGUAGCAGCCUGGGCCGGCCGGCCAGCCAGCGAUGUUGGGCGAGGGUUUCCAAGCUCCCUGCCCCCCUCGGGCCGGCUGUCGCUCUUCCGCUUUCUCCGCCAAAAUGGCGGCGCCGCCUCGUCAGGUGAUUCCAGCCCAGCCGAGGGGUUAAGAUUUCACAUUCCAAAGAAAAGUUUCGUAAUCACGCACAAACUAGGACAUGCUGUUUUACCACAGCCUGGGUGGUGAUUCAGUUAUUGUCUAGUAGAACACAUGACCCUCUCACCUGUCAUACUCCAUGAUUCACGCUGCAUCAGAUAUUAACGUUGCAUUAAGGUAAUGGUCAGAGGUUAUAAUAUGCCAUAGAAAAUAUACAACAUUGGAAGAGGCUAGUGUGUCUGCACAGGUGCAAGAAAACAAGCUACUCAUCUGUAGAUUAUUUUGUUGGAUGUGUAUAAAGACAAGAAAUAAAGCCAUGGUUUUUUGUAUAAAUAUAACAUUGAAGAUGAAUAACACCUAACAACUGCAACUGAUGCAGCAUAUAAUGGAGUAUAUUAUAUGGUGCAUGUAGUUCUUAAAUAUAUAUAUAUAAAAUAAUGCAUAUCAGCAGUCAUGCCACCCUAUCAUCUCCAAAUUCAUGGACCUAGGAAUCUGCACCCUCCUCUGCCACUUUCUGAUCCACAAUCAACAAUUAGUGAUGAUAAGUGACAACACCUCAACUAUAAUAAUUCUCAACAACGGUUCCCACAACGAUGAGUUCUGUCUCUUACUAUAUUCCCUUUACACCUACACGUAUGGGCAAAUCUGGCACUAAUUUCAUCUACAUGUUUGCAGACAACACUGUGGUGGGCCGAAUCAUGAACACUGACGGAAGGAGAUAGAGAAUAUAGUAACAAGGACAACAACCUCUCCCUCCAUGUCAGCAAGACAAAGGAGCUGGUUAUCAACUUCAGGAAGCGUGGUAUCGUGCACGCCCCAAUCAUCAAUGGAGCCAGAUUGGAAAUGGUUGAGAGCUUCAAGUUCCUUGUCAUUAAUAUUAGCAGCAAUCUGUCAUGGACCAACCACAUUGAUGCCACCAAGACGGCGCACCAACUACUCUACUUCCAUUAGAGACUGAGGGAAUUCAGCGUGUUUGCAAUGACUCCUACAAGCUUCGGCAGAUGCACCAUAGAAAGCAUACACUUGGGUUGCAUCACACCAUGGUUUGCGAACAGCUCUGGUUUGCGAACAGAAGAAAAUACAUUUCAAUAUGAUCUACUUAAUUUAUCCAAUGCAAAUACAGUGUUAAUCCGUAGGGCAACUUGCAAGAGGUCCAGAGUGUGAUGGGGUAUGUGUUCGCAGCUGGGUUUCUGGGGUGUGAACCAGGAGUGCAGACUGAAGACAAGCCGAAACUCACCUUGUUCCAUUUCCCACUCGCUUUGUAUUACGACUGUGUAAUAUGAAAAGACUGAAAUAAAAGACUGUUGGACUGUU